UACAGAGGAUGCAAGCGUUAUCCGGAAUGAUUGGGCGUAAAGCGUCUGUAGGUGGCUUUUUAAGUCUGCCGUCAAAUCCCAGGGCUCAACUCUGGACAGGCGGUGGAAACUACCAAGCUGGAGUACGGUAGGGGCAGAGGGAAUUUCCGGUGGAGCGGUGAAAUGCGUAGAGAUCGGGAAGAACAUCGGUGGCGAAAGCGCUCUACUGGACCGCAACUGACACUCAGGGACGAAAGCUAGGGGAGCGAAUGGG
rnacentral:rRNA from 1 species